CAUACAAGAAAAUCUCAGUAGUCCGCAGAGUCAUGACUAACAUUUGAAAUUACAUAAAAAUUGAUCACAAAAUUUCCUACUAAAUUCAAAAUUCAAUUCACUUACGAACCGAACCAGUGAUAUGGGCAACAUAAUAGCGAAAUGCAAAAACGAGAAGAAAAUAAUCGACGAACGUAUUGCUGAGACGGAACCGCAUCGGAAAAAUAUUGGAUUUGACGACGAUUUGUGUGCGAAUAGCAACGAGAGUGAUGAUGUCGCAGAUAUUCUGGAAGAGACUAUUGCAGAAUUGAAUGGCAUUAUUUCGUCUUUGAAAAAAAUCUCAAAUUGAGGCUGUGCCAUAACUCCGAACAAACCGAAUGAAUGUUUACCGAGAAGUGAAUUUUCUUAUAUUUUGAAUAAAAGGAACUUUAUGCUAAAAAUC